rnacentral:rRNA from 1 species
CACGGCCCAGACUCCUACGGGAGGCAGCAGUAGGGAAUCUUCCGCAAUGGACGAAAAGUCUGACGGAGCAACGCCGCGUGAGUGAUGAAAGGUUUUCGGAUCGUAAAGCUCUGUUGUUAGGGAAAGAACAAGUACCGUUCGAAUAGGGCGGUACCUUGACGGUACCUAACCAGAAAGCCACGGCUAACUACGUGCCAGCAGCC